GCAACCUGAACCUUUUGUGAUAUUUGGUGUAAAGCAACCAACUAUCAAUAAGUCCAGCUUGCCUGGGUGGCAAGAUAGACUGGAAUGCUCCAAGGGACUGUCUGUGGUGCCAAGGCCGAGGGACAGGAAGCAGGCGACGGUCAGCUGUGUGGAUCAAAGAGCUUCAUCGAGCGUUGAGGCUUUGAGGAGACAGUCGGUGAGGGGUUUGAAUUCCUAGAGACCGGAGAGUUGCCCUUGAGUCCUUCAUGGAAUGAAGUACAUCAUUCGUCGUGGAGGCAAAAAGUUUGUCGCCAUUGAAGGGGAGAUCAUUUGGACCUCCGAAGAAAGGAAGAGGACGAGAGCCAUGAACCUUGGCGCAUCACAACUGCUGUGGCAGUAGAUCUUGCUGCAGUAUUGGCCGCAUUGAGGGCAGCUUGAAGAGCUGUACAGGAGAUGAUUUGUCCCUCAGAAACUACGGCUGUAAAUUGUUGUUUUUUUCCCUCUAGAAUGUCAUCAAUAAAGUCCAUGAGUUUACUAUAAUUCUUGUGGCCAUAUUUUGCCAGAAUGGCUGUAUAAUUAACGAUGCAAAAUCAUAACAUGGAAGACGCGUAUAUCUUGCAUCCGAGCAGAUCUAAUUGCUUAUUGUCCUUGU